rnacentral:rRNA from 1 species
CGUGUAGGCGGUCGGUCAAGUCCGGUGUGAAAGCCCGGGCUCAGCUCCGGAAGUGCAUCGGAAACUAGCCGACUUGAGCGCGAUAGAGGAGGGUGGAAUUCCUGGUGUAGCGGUGAAAUGCGUAGAUAUCAGGAGGAACACCGGCGGCGAAGGCGGCCCUCUGGAUCGUUGCUGGACGCUGAGACGCGAAAGCGUGGGGAGCAAACAGGAUUAGAUACCCUGGUAGUCCACGCUCGUAAACGAUGGGUACUAGGUGUUCGGGGUGUUGACCCCCUGAGUGCCGACGCUAACGCAUUAAGUACCCCGCCUGGGGACUACGGCCGCAAAGGCUAAA